CUGUGAGCGCAAUCAGCG
rnacentral:misc_RNA from 1 species